GGGCUGCGGUAAUUUGACCGUGCGAAGGUAGCAUAAUCAAUAGUCUCUUAAUUGGGGACUGGAAUGAACGACGUGACGAAAAGUAAGCUGUCUUUAAUAUAAAGAUUGAAUUUUACUUUCAAGUGAAAAGGCUUGACUGGAAUUAAGGGACGAUAAGACCCUAUAAAACUUAACAUCGUUAACUUGUUUUUUAAAUUUAAUGUGAAAAAGGUAACAGGUAACUGCUGUUUGGUUGGGGCGACUAAGAUAUAAUUAAAUAACUGUCUUUAGAUAAGAAUAAUGAUAAUUUGUUUUAUGAGCCUUUAUUAAGGAUUAAAAAAUUAAGUUACUUUAGGGAUAACAGCGUAAUUUUUUCUGAGAGUUCUUAUCGAAGAAAUUAGUUGCGACCUCGAUGUUGAAUUAAAAUUUCUUAUAAAUGUAGCAGUUUAAUAAGUAGGUCUGUUCGACCUUUAAAAUUU
rnacentral:rRNA from 1 species